rnacentral:rRNA from 1 species
CGCGUAGGCGGUCCGAUAAGUCCCGUGUGAAAUCCCUCGGCUCAACUGAGGAAUGGCACGGGAAACUGACGGGCUUGAGUUCGGGAGAGGGAAGCGGAAUUCCGGGUGUAGCGGUGAAAUGCGUAGAUAUCCGGAGGAACACCGGUGGCGAAGGCGGCUUCCUGGACCGACACUGACGCUGAGGCGCGAAAGCUAGGGGAGGCAAAACGG